AUCAUUUCUCAGCCUUUUGGCUAAGAUCAAGUGUAAAAAUGUAUCUUUUCAGGUGGCUACUGAAUGUAAUUGAAUAACUGCCAUCUCCUGAUUUUGUCAUAAUUUUUUAUUCAUUGUCUUUAAAGAAUUCUUUAAGACCUUAACUGUAAGUUGCUUACUGUCCAAUCAAAUUGGUGUUGACCAUUG